rnacentral:rRNA from 1 species
GUCCACGCGGUAAAACGAUGAGUGCUAGGUGUAGGAGGUAUCGACCCCUUCUGUGCCGCAGUAAACACAAUAAGCACUCCGCCUGGGGAGUACGGCCGCAAGGUUGAAACUCAAAGGAAUUGACGGGGGGCCCGCACAAGCAGCGGAGCAUGUGGUUUAAUUCGAAGCAACGCGAAGAACCUUACCAGGUCUUGACAUCCAGUAAAACUUGUAGAGAUACAUCGUGACUUCGGUCAUACUGAGACAGGUGGUGCAUGGUUGUCGU